rnacentral:misc_RNA from 1 species
UUUCCGUAGGUGAACCUGCGGAAGGAUCAUUAGCAAAGCAGAUGGGCCUCCGGGCCCGCUUCGCAAACUUCCUACCCUGUGCAUCGUGACCCCUUUUUUCGCUCUAGUGCGAAGUAUCGAAAGAGUCUCGAAGAGCAAAAGUGAAAAGCAUAUAAAAUGAAGCAACGGAUCUCUUGGCUCUCGCAUCGAUGAAGAACGCAGC